CAAAGACACAUACCCGCUCCAGAGGCAGGCAUAAAAUAUACUUGAAUGUCCAGCUACGAGUAAAAGAUACUGGACCCAGAUAAACAACAACCAGAAUCCUUUCCUUAAUGCCUCACGAGAGGAAGGGGGAAAAAAAAUAUUCCAUGUCCAAGAGACUGUGGGGUCAUGGCCGCAGGACCACUUAGUGCUUGUGGAAAAGCUGCCUCAGAAAAGUGUCACAAACAAGGAGAGGAAGAGGAAGGAGCUGCUGUCUGCGUCUGAAUGAAGCUAAAAAUGGAAAGCGCAUGCUGGAGGAGCGGAACCCAGCCUUGCCUUUUCCAAAUGGGGAAGCCUGAACUUUCCCACCAGCUUUCAACACACAAACAACUUUCAAAACAACCUGGCCCCCCUCCUGACGUCCUCUUAUCCUUUGGCAAAGAAGGCUGAGAAAGUCUACAUCCUGCCAGCAUCAGUGGAGCAACAGCCUUUCAUAGACCACGGGAACAUACUCCCUUGGACCAAAAAAAAAAAAAAAAAUUCUUAUAUGACUGUGACUUGAUGCUAUCUCAAAACUUUAAGCUUGAAGGACUAAAUCAAAUAAAUCCCUGUAACAAAA